AACGAACGCUGUCGGCAGGCCUAACACAUGCAAGUCGAGCGAGGACUUCGGUCCUAGCGGCGGACGGGUGAGUAACGCGUGGGAACGUGCCCUUUGCUUCGGAAUAGCCCUGGGAAACUGGGAGUAAUACCGGAUGAGCCCUUUGGGGGAAAGAUUUAUCGGCGAAGGAUCGGCCCGCGUUGGAUUAGGUAGUUGGUGGGGUAAUGGCCUACCAAGCCGACGAUCCAUAGCUGGUUUGAGAGGAUGAUCAGCCACACUGGGACUGAGACACGGCCCAGACUCCUACGGGAGGCAGCAGUGGGGAAUCUUAGACAAUGGGGGAAACCCUGAUCUAGCCAUGCCGCGUGAGCGAUGAAGGCCUUAGGGUUGUAAAGCUCUUUCAGCUGGGAAGAUAAUGACGGUACCAGCAGAAGAAGCCCCGGCUAACUCCGUG
rnacentral:rRNA from 1 species